UACGGAGGGUGCAAGCGUUAUCCGGAUUUACUGGGUUUACAGGGAGCGUAGGUGGGUCGGUAAGUCAGUGGUGAAAUCUUCGAGCUUAACUCGGAAACUGCCAUUGAUACUAUCGAUCUUGAAUUAUCUGGAGGUAAGCGGAAUAUGUCAUGUAGCGGUGAAAUGCUUAGAUAUGACAUAGAACACCCAUUGCGAAGGCAGCUUACUACGGAUAUAUUGACACUGAGGCUCGAAAGCGUGGGGAUCAAACAGG
rnacentral:rRNA from 1 species